UCAGUAGAAAACAUCGCGAGUCUUCGGGGAGAUUUGAUUCUAUAAGCCUGUGGGACGGACGUCGAGGGUCCUUUUCGCCAAGAUGGCGCCGAAAGCGAAGAAGGAAGCUCCUGCCCCUCCCAAAGCUGAAGCUAAAGCGAAGGCUUUGAAGGCUAAGAAGGCAGUGCUGAAAGGCGUCCACAGCCACAAAAAAAAGAAGAUCCGUACAUCACCCACCUUCCGGAGGC